rnacentral:rRNA from 1 species
AUGGACGUGUAUGACUUGAAGAAGGAAAUACAGCAGAGACUUGGAAACAGAAAAUAUUUGAUUGUACUGGAUGAUGUUUGGGAGCAAGAUGUAUACUGCCAAAUACAUGGUGCUCACCAGGAUAUCCCAGGAAGUCGGAUCAUCAUUACGACACGGAAGGACCAUGUCGAUGGAAUUUCUUCUCCCACCCGUCAUCUGGAGCUCCAGCCAUUGAGUAAGCCUGAUGCAUUUGAACUCUUCUGCAGAAGGGCUUUUAAGAACCAGAAGGAUCACAUGUGCCCCAAGGAUCUUGAAAUGGUUGCUACUGCUAUAGUGGACAGGUGCCAUGGGCUACCUCUAGUGAUUGUUACCAUCGGAGGCAUGUUGUCUUCAAGUCAACGGUUAGACAUUUGGACUCAAAUGUACAAUCAGCUUCGAAGCGAGUUGUCAAACAGUGAUCAUGUUCGAGCAAUUUCAGAUUUGAGCUAG